GCAAGUCAGCUGCCCCUCAUGAGAAAGGCACUCUUAGAACUCAGCUGGCCCAGGGAAGGCAUGGCAGCCCUUCCACCUGGGUUCUGGUACUCACCCAUCAUGGGGAGUCUUGUUCUUGCUCUACACUCCUCUGAAAGGGGAGAUGGAGAUGAGGCUGGAUUGGAGGAGAAGUGGGGGCAGGUCCUCAGGAGCAUGGGGAAGCCAGACUUUUAUAUUCAAUACCUCCAGCACCCGCUGUUUGUUAAGGAAUGUAGAGUGGAGUUUUCCAGACUACAUGGUGUGUGAUAGCACAACAGAUUGACUGUGGACAAAGGUCUGAGAAUCCAACUGUCUUUCUGUGAAGCCCACACGCUAACGUGGUUUGUAAAACUAUCAGACAGUGCCACUCCUUUUGCUCAAUUUUUUUGUUGUUGUGGAAAAUAUAGUUACGUUUCAUUAGGAUAUAGUUUAUGUUAACAUAG